AGGAGGGGCAUUUUCAUGCACAUAAAAACAUUAAAACAGAAGCUGUGCUUAUUGUCCAUCUACCAGUUGCUUUUCUGAAGCAGUUUCAUCUAAAGAAGUCGGCUGCACCAUGUCUUUUUUAAAGAAAGGACUUGGAGAUGUUAAAACCGAUGAGAUUGUAAAACAAGGGAAGGAAGCUGUGGAGGAUACCAUAAAUCAGUGCAUUCAAGAGGGGCAACAAUAUGUUCAAGAAGUGGUUGACAAAGGCACAGAAGCUGCUAAAGAUGCUGCAAACAAGGCAGUAACUGAUUUUAAAACUGGCUUCAAGCAGAAGUGAAAGUUAGAUCUGGUUUAAGCAAUAUAUAGUCUUUGCAUAUUUUAUUAUUUUUCCCAUCACAAGGGCAUGAUUAAAUCAUUCAGCAACCUA